rnacentral:rRNA from 1 species
GACGAACGCUGGCGGCGUGCUUAACGCAUGCAAGUCGAACGGACAGGCCCUGCUUUUGUGGGGUGCUCGAGUGGCGAACGGGUGAGUAACACGCGAGUAACCUGCCCUUGACUUUGGGAUAACUUCAGGAAACUGGGGCUAAUACCGGAUAGGAGCUCCUGCUGCAUGGUGGGGGUUGGAAAGUUUCGGCGGUUGGGGCUGGACUCGCGGCUUAUCGGCUUGUUGGUGGGGUAGUGGCUUACCAAGGCUUUGACGGGUAGCCGGCCUGGGAGGGUGGCCGGCGACAUUGGGACUGAGAUACGGCCCAGACUCCUACGGGAGGCAGAAGUGGGAAAUAUUGCACAAUGGGCGGAAGCCUGAUGCAGCAACGCCGCGUGCGGGAUGACGGCCUUCGGGUUGUAAACCGCUUUCGCCUGUGACGAAGCGUGAGUGACGGUAAUGGGUAAAGAAGCACCGGCUAACUACGUG